rnacentral:rRNA from 1 species
UACAGAGGGUGCGAGCGUUAAUCGGAAUUACUGGGCGUAAAGCGCACGUAGUCGGCUUUGCAAGUCGGGUGUGAAAUCCCCGGGCUCAACCUGGGAACUGCAUCCGAGACUGCAUUGCUAGAGUAUGGGAGAGGGAAGCGGAAUUUCUGGUGUAGCAGUGAAAUGCGUAGAUAUCAGGAAGAACACCCGUGGCGAAGGCGGCUCUCUGGGACGGUACUGACGCUGAGACGCGAAAGCGUGGGGAGCGAACAGG